CGGGAUGGCGGAACGGUAGACGCGGCGGACUCAAAAUCCGUUGUCCGAAAGGACGUGUGGGUUCGAAUCCCACUCCCG
rnacentral:tRNA from 1 species